UACGUAGGGUGCGAGCGUUGUCCGGAAUUAUUGGGCGUAAAGAGCUCGUAGGCGGUUUGUUGCGUCGGCUGUGAAAUCCCGAGGCUCAACCUCGGGUCUGCAGUCGAUACGAGCAAACUAGAGUGUUGCAGGGGAGACUGGAAUUCCUGGUGUAGCGGUGAAAUGCGCAGAUAUCAGGAGGAACACCGGUGGCGAAGGCGGGUCCCUGGGCCGAUACUGACGCUGAGGAGCGAAAGCGUGGGGAGCGAACAGG
rnacentral:rRNA from 1 species